UCCCAGUUAGCUUAAUGGUAAAGCACCCAACCGGCAAUUGGGGGAUCUGGGUUCAAGUCCCAGUCUUGGUU
rnacentral:tRNA from 1 species